rnacentral:tRNA from 1 species
GUUCGCCACCAGCAGGGCCGUGGUGCUCUUGCCGUUGGUGCCGGUGAUGCCCACCAGUUGCAGCUGGCUGGCGGGUU